rnacentral:rRNA from 1 species
GACGUAGGGCGCGAGCGUUGUCCGGAAUCAUUGGGCGUAAAGCGCGUGUAGGCGGCCCGGUAAGUCCGCUGUGAAAGUCGGGGGCUCAACCCUCGGAUGCCGGUGGAUACUGUCGGGCUCGAGUACGGAAGAGGCGAGUGGAAUUCCUGGUGUAGCGGUGAAAUGCGCAGAUAUCAGGAGGAACACCGAUUGCGAAGGCAGCUCGCUGGGACGUUACUGACGCUGAGACGCGAAAGCGUGGGGAGCAAACAGG